AGCGAACGCUGGCGGCAGGCCUAACACAUGCAAGUCGAACGAAGUCUUCGGACUUAGUGGCGGACGGGUGAGUAACACGUGGGAACGUGCCUUUAGGUUCGGAAUAACUCAGGGAAACUUGUGCUCAUACCGAAUGUGCCCUUCGGGGGAAAGAUUUCUCGCCUUUAGAGCGGCCCGCGUCUGAUUAGCUAGUUGGUGAGGUAAAGGCUCACCAAGGCGACGUUCAGUAGCUGGGCUGAGAGGAUGAUCAGCCACAUUGGGACUGAGACACGGCCCAAACUCCUACGGGAGGCAGCAGUGGGGAAUCUUGCGCAAUGGGCGAAAGCCUGACGCAGCCAUGCCGCGUGAAUGAUGAAGGUCUUAGGAUUGUAAAAUUCUUUCGCCGGGGACGAUAAUGACGGUACCCGGAGAAGAAGCCCCGGCUAACUUCGUGCCAGCCGCCGCCGUAACAC
rnacentral:rRNA from 1 species